rnacentral:rRNA from 1 species
CCUUCCAAGAAAAGCCUCUAAGCUUCAGGUAAAAAGAGACCGUACUCCAAACCGACACAGGUGAUCAGGUAGAGAAUACCAAGGCGCUUGAGAGAACUCGGGUGAAGGAACUAGGCAAAAUGGCACCGUAACUUCGGGAGAAGGUGCACCGCUUUUGGUGAUGGGAUUUACUCCCUAAGCUGAGGGCGGUCGAAGAUACCAGGCCCCUGCAACUGUUUAUUAAAAACACAGCACUCUGCAAACACGUAAGUGGACGUAUAGGGUGUGACGCCUGCCCGGUGCCGAAGGUUAAUUGAUGGGGUUAGCGCAAGCGAAGCUCUUGAUCGAAGCCCCGGUAAACGGCGGCCGUAACAAUAACGGUCCUAAGGUAGCGAAAUUCCUUGUCGGGUAAGUUCCGACCUGCACGAAUGGCGUAAUGAUGGGGGCGCUGUCUCCACCCGAGACUCAGUGAAAUUGAAAUCGCGGUUAAGAUGCCGUGUACCCGCGGCUAGACGGAAAGACCCCGUGAACCUUUACUAUAGCUUUGCACUGAACUUUGAACCUAUCUGUGUAGGAUAGGUGGGAGGCUUUGAAGUCGAGACGCUAGUUUCGAUGGAGCCGUCCUUGAAAUACCACCCUGGUAUGUUUGAGGUUCUAACGUCGGCCCCUUAUCGGGGUUACGGACAGUGUAUGGUGGGUAGUUUGACUGGGGCGGUCUCCUCCCAAAGAGUAACGGAGGAGCACGAAGGUGUGCUAAUCAUGGUCGGAAAUCAUGAGGUUAGUGUAAAGGCAAAAGCACGCUUGACUGCGAGACAGACAUGUCGAGCAGGUACGAAAGUAGGUCUUAGUGAUCCGGUGGUUCUGUAUGGAAGGGCCAUCGCUCAACGGAUAAAAGGUACUCCGGGGAUAACAGGCUGAUACCGCCCAAGAGUUCACAUCGACGGCGGUGUUUGGCACCUCGAUGUCGGCUCAUCACAUCCUGGGGCUGAAGCCGGUCCCAAGGGUAUGGCUGUUCGCCAUUUAAAGUGGUACGCGAGCUGGGUUUAGAACGUCGUGAGACAGUUCGGUCCCUAUCUGCCGUGGGCGUUGGAGAUUUGAGAAGAGUUGUUCCUAGUACGAGAGGACCGGAAUGAACGAACCUCUGGUGUUCGGGUUGUCAUGCCAAUGGCAUUGCCCGGUAGCUACGUUCGGACGGGAUAACCGCUGAAAGCAUCUAAGCGGGAAGCCUCCUUCAAGAUGAGAUCUCCCUGGGACUUUAAGUCCCCUAAAGAGCCGUUGAAGACUACGACGUUGAUAGGUUGGGUGUGGAAGCGCAGCGAUGCGUUGAGCUAACCAAUACUAAUUGCUCGUGCGGCUUGACCA